CACUGGGUCAACCAAUAUUUGAGGACCUAUGAUGUGCCAGAGCCUGAGCGUGGCCUUGGAGAAGGAUUUGGUUCUAUCAGUCAUCGGGUCCUAGGAUCAAUACCCAAAUCAGGCACCUUGCUCAGCGGGAGGUGGUUGGUGUUCUUACAUAUUGGUUCAGGGAUUCAUGCGACCACAGCGGAAGCUUCUACUCCUCUAAAAACCGACAACUGGAAAUGGCAGAGUGUCAUGUCCACUGGGAUAUAAUUGGUUCCUCCGGAGGCAGUCUUCAAGCCAAGAAUUGAGCAUAAGUGGUUUGCUAAUACCCAGCCCCAGAAGAAGAAACCAGUAAGGGAGUAGAAGAAGCAGACUGAAGAGAAGGAAGAACCUAAGAGAGAUUGUUUAUUUACGAAGGAUAAUGCGGCCUCCUGUAUCAUCUCAGUUCCCACAGUAAAAAAUAAUCAUGCUGCUCUGUGAAAAACUGGACAGUUGCUGAAUAUAGAAAGAGGCCCAGUAGGCUACACUUGUAACAUGUCUAUUAAAAAUCUAUAAAUGGCUCUUGAGGAAAAAAAAGUUCUGGGCAGAAGUUCUUAACUGUUCUUAUGCCAUCGACCCCUUUGAAGGUCUGGUGAAGACUGUAAUCCUUUCUGAGAAUAACACUUCUAUAUGCGUAAAAGUAAGAUUACAGUGGUAACCACUUACAUUGAAACACAGCUAUUGAAAUAGUAAAAAGAAAAUUCUGAUAUAGAAAUAGAGGUGUUUAUUAACAAGUUAAGGGAAAAAUCUAAUGGUGGUUCUAAUAACUAUCAGAAGUUGAAAAGUGAUGAGCGUAAAUAUUUCAAGAUUAUCCAACUGUUACUGUGACAAGAAAAUGUCUAUUAUUCCUAUUAGUAGAAAUAUGGUUCUGUUAAAUAUGCUUGUGGUUCAUUGCCUACAUUCAUAAUAGAAGGAAAUGAUAAAUUCCAAUUAGAAGUUAGUGAAAAUGAAUAUGUAAUUUCUUUUCCAUUUAAGUUCACAGACCCCUCCCUGAAUUCUAUCCUAAAGUUACUGUAAACUACCAAAGGAGUUGGUUUAUUCAGAUGUAUUCAUACAAAUAUCUCCCUCUCCAUAUCACACUGUAGAAGAUUUCAGUACUGAAGUCAAAAAACCAAAAAAAAAAAAGAAAAAAAAGAAAAAAAAAUCAGAACUCUUUACCCCUCCCCCCCUUCCAGAUGCGUUGUUGACUGGGUAUGAAUGCUGCAGAAGCAGCUGCAGAGGGUUUGGAAGCUGACCCCUGAGGGGUCUGGUUGGAGCCCCUGCCCCCUCCAAGGCACAGGCCUAUAGAGAAAGGGGUCACACAUUUCUUUUGAACUAAUGUCAUCAGCCAGGGUAUGAAGGGACCUCCCUCCACUCUAGGUUAGAGCAAAGUUGAGGAGGAAAAAAUGGAACACAAACUAGGAAUAAAAUGAGAAAAAAGGAACAAGAGGAGAAAAAGAAUCUGGAAACUUCAGACUUGGAACGGAAUAUAAAAAAUGAUCAGUUUAAACUUCUACCUUUUACUGAAACCCUAAGAUAGCCAACCUUUGCUUGCCCACUCUUAUUAGAGACUUGUCUUUGCGAAAGCUCUUUUCAUUUUGCCUGGUUCCCAUGAUUAGUAAGCCCCUUCUUAUAUCAAGACUCUUUUCUUGAACACUUUAGCUUGGAAUAUCUAGAUGGUUUAUUCCCACUUCCCAAAUUCUGAUAACCUCCUGCUGUUUUCUUUGUUCUUUCACUUUGGAGACUGACUUAAUAAAAAGGUCAGUAGAUAAACAGAAUACCUUCAUUUUACCAUUGCCAGUUUGGCAGUUUUCAAGAGCACUUUUA